CUAUGGAGCUUUAGACACAAAGACAGAUCAUGUUAAACACCCCCCAAUAAAGGCCUAAACUUAAUGAUCCCCUGUCCUAAUGUCUUCGGUUGGGGCGACCAUGGGGAAACACAAAUCCCCCAUGUGGAAUAGGAGGACAAUCCCAUAUUAUUUUCCUCUCCUCCCACAAGCAAGAGCCACAACUCUAGCUAACAGAACUUUUGACCUUAUAUGAUCCGGCGCACGCCGAUCAACGGACCAAGUUACCCUAG
rnacentral:rRNA from 1 species